rnacentral:rRNA from 1 species
UACGAAGGACCCAAGCGUUAUCCGGAUUUAUUGGGUUUAAAGGGUGCGUAGGCGGGUUAUUAAGUCAGUGGUGAAAGCCUGCAGCUUAACUGCAGAAUUGCCAUUGAUACUGAUGAUCUUGAGUAUGAUUGAGGUGGGCGGAAUGUGUCAUGUAGCGGUGAAAAUGCUUUAGAUAUGACACAGAACACCGAUUGCGAAGGCAGCUCACUAAGCCAUAACUGACGCUGAUGCACGAAAGCGUGGGGGAGCAAACAGG